GACGAACGCUGGCGGCGUGCUUAACACAUGCAAGUCGAACGAUGAAGCCCAGCUUGCUGGGUGGAUUAGUGGCGAACGGGUGAGUAACACGUGGGCAACCUGCCCCAAACUCUGGGAUAACUCCUCGAAAGAGGUGCUAAUACCGGACACGAACUGGACAGACAUCCGUACCAGUUGGCAAGUUUUUCGGUUUGGGAUGGGCCCGCGGCCUAUCAGCUUGUUGGUGAGGUAACGGCUCACCAAGGCUACGACGGGUAACCGGCCUGAGAGGGCGACCGGUCACACUGGGACUGAGACACGGCCCAGACUCCUACGGGAGGCAGCAGUGGGGAAUAUUGCGCAAUGGGCGAAAGCCUGACGCAGCGACGCCGCGUGAGGGAUGAAGGUCUUCGGAUCGUAACCCUCUUUCAGUAGGGACGAAGCGAAAGUGACGGUACCUAAAGAAGAAGCACCGGCUAACUACGUGCCAGCAGCCGCCGUAA
rnacentral:rRNA from 1 species